rnacentral:rRNA from 1 species
CCUACGGGGGGCAGCAGUGGGGAAUAUUGCGCAAUGGACGAAAGUCUGACGCAGCGACGCCGCGUGAGGGAUGAAGGUUUUCGGAUCGUAAACCUCUGUCAGGAGGGAAGAAAGCGCAUGGCGCCAAUCAGCCAUGCGUUGACGGUACCUCCAAAGGAAGCGCCGGCUAACUCCGUGCCAGCAGCCGCGGUAAUACGGAGGGCGCGAGCGUUAAUCGGAAUCACUGGGCGUAAAGCGCGCGUAGGCGGCUUUUCAAGUCAGGGGUGAAAUCCCACGGCCCAACCGUGGAACUGCCUUUGAAACUG